rnacentral:rRNA from 1 species
AUUGAACGCUGGCGGCAGGCCUAACACAUGCAAGUCGAACGGUAACAGGAAGAAGCUUGCUUCUUUGCUGACGAGUGGCGGACGGGUGAGUAAUGUCUGGGAAACUGCCUGAUGGAGGGGGAUAACUACUGGAAACGGUAGCUAAUACCGCAUAACGUCGCAAGACCAAAGAGGGGGACCUUCGAGCCUCUUGCCAUCGGAUGUGCCCAGAUGGGAUUAGCCAGUAGGUGGGGUAACGGCUCACCUAGGCGACGAUCCCUAGCUGGUCUGAGAGGAUGACCAGCCACACUGGAACUGAGACACGGUCCAGACUCCUACGGGAGGCAGCAGUGGGGAAUAUUGCACAAUGGGCGCAAGCCUGAUGCAGCCAUGCCGCGUGUAUGAAGAAGGCCUUCGGGUUGUAAAGUACUUUCAGCGGGGAGGAAGGGAGUAAAGUUAAUACCUUUGCUCAUUGACGUACCCGCA